ensembl:lncRNA
UACUUCUUAAUGAAGCACAUGUAUGGAUAUAUAAAACUCAUGAACUGUUUUAACUUUUAAAACCUUCUAAUAUUUUAUCUCAUUCCAUUUGAACUUAUUUAUGUAUCUGCUUCUUUUAUUUUAUUUAUUUUUUUUUAACAUUAGCUCCCUUUUUGUUAAUUUUCAUUUGUACAACAUUUAUUUAAUUUUAAAUUAUUAUAAUUACAUGUUGUUUUAUUUAUUUGUUUAUUUAUUUACUUAUUUUUUUUAUAAUAAUUUUUAUUCAUUUCAUGUUGUUAACUUUGUAUGUACAUAUUAAUAACAUGUUUAUAGCAAAUGUAAAAAGAAGUUGAAUAUAUUUGCAAACUUUAAUUUUAAAUGCUUAAUAAAUAAGUAGUAUAUAUGUACAAUAUUGUAGAUAAAUGCUACAUAUUUUGUACAUGAAUUUAAUUCAUUUUACUACUUAUGAAUACGAAAUUAUUUAUGAAAAAUUGAAAUAUAUAAAAUAAAAGAGAGACCAAAGUCAAUGAGAAUUAUAAGAAAUGUAUAAUUUUUUUUUUUUUCUUACACAAAUUUAUUAAUUAUAUUUAAUUCUUUUCUCCAUUUUUUUUUUUUUUUUUUUUUUUUACUUUCUUUUGUGAUGUGGAUUAAAAGAGGAACGUCAUUACUAAACAGAAAAUAUUUUUAUUUCCGCAGUUUUACGAAUACUGUUAAAGUAUAUGAUGAUAACAUAAAAAUUAUAGAAAGUAAAACUUUUUAUGAAGACAAAAACACAAAAAUUACUAUUCGAGAAUCUUCAAAAUAUGCCAUAUCUAUACCCCAGUCUGAUCGUUCUUUGAUAAAUUCCUUCAUUUAUAAAGUCUUUACGUAAGUUAUUAUUAUGCAACUGUACAUGUGCAUAUAUAUAUGCUUAUGCAUAUAUGCAAUGCUUCUAUGUAUACGUAUAUAUAUAUAUAUGUACAUAUAUGUACAUAUGUGUACAUAUAAACAUUUGGACAUAACAACGUUUAUUUUAUUUAUUUUGCCGUUUGUUUAUAAGCUUGCUUAUUUCAUUUUAUUCUGUUUUACUUUUGUUAUUAUUAGAAAACAUACAGAAUAUGGAGAAUGUGCAUGGAGGUUAACACAUUUAAUUAUUGAAAGGCUCGAAAAUGAAGAAAUAUUAAAAAUAUUUGGUAUAGACGAAUCAUUUAAUAUGAAAAUGUAUUUUUAUAUUUUACAUUUAUGGUUAAUUAAUAAAAGACUAAGACAUGAGCAUUACGAAGGAGAAAUUAUUAAUAAAUAUAUUUUCGACAUUACUUGGAAAAUAGUUAGAGAUUGGAUGUUAUUAAAAAAUAUUCCUGAAUAUUCUUUUAAUGCUGAACUUUUAAAUUGCCAAGAGUAUGCCUUUGGGUUUUUGGUAGCUUUAGAUGAAGCCGCUACAAAAGUAGAAAUAUUCCCAUCACUUUUAAAAGAAGUAUUAUGGGGACAUUUAUAUGAAAAGAAAGUAAAGAAAAAUUCUAACACAUUAAAUGACCUGAGUAAAUACACCUUAUUUCAAAUGAGACACAUUUUUAAUUUAUCAAGUGACCAUUUCUUACAAUCUUACUUUAUAUGGGCUGAUUUUUAUAGCCAAAAAAAAUCAAAUCGCCGUUUACCAGCAUUAUGCCAACAAAUAUCAUAUGGAGGUAAGAAAAAAAUAAAAAGAAUAAAACAAUAAAUGGCACACAUU